rnacentral:rRNA from 1 species
UACGGGGGGAGCAAGCGUUGUUCGGAUUUACUGGGCGUAAAGGGCGCGUAGGCGGUCGUGACAAGUCACUUGUGAAAUCUCCGGGCUUAACUCGGAACGGUCAAGUGAUACUGUCGGACUAGAGUACAGAAGGGGCAACUGGAAUUCUCGGUGUAGCGGUGAAAUGCGUAGAUAUCGAGAGGAACACCUGCGGCGAAGGCGGCUCUCUGGGACGGUACUGACGCUGAGGCGCGAAAGCGUGGGUAGCAAACAGG